UUUAACGCGCUCCUCUGCGCUUCUCAAAAAUUCAAGUGUAUGCACCCUGCAACGCGGUAGAAACUAGUAUUUAAAAUCAAAGUGGUAUUUUAUUUAGUGUCUAAAAUCAAAGUUAUAGUAAUUCCUGUGUUAGCUCUUCCAAAUGGAGGAGAACGCGACCCACUGUCGGCGCUAGAAGGGCACGCCUCCACUUUGCACACCCAACAUGGCACGGCACGGACAGACCAGACCUCCUGAAGCUCCUUCUUUUGUCUACGGCUUGCGGGCAGUGAAAGUCGACUGCAACAACUCCACGCUCGUGUCCCCGCCCUGUUGCAUUUCACUUAGAAUGCUUUUAACCAAAACAUUAAGCAGCUGGUGUCACAUUAUAUCAGCGAGGCGGAGGCGAGGCUUAGUUGGCCUGGGAGCAGCAGCCGCAGCAACAUGCAACCAGCUACCAGCCACCAGCUACGAACAACCAGCUAGCAACAAACAGCAACCAGCAACAGCAGCAAAUUUAUGGCCCGAAUUAGCCCCGCCCCAACUGGAAUCCCACCCCCAGCAUCAGAAAUGCCGUGGCUGACUGAAAACAAGGCACUCAGAAGACCGAAGUCGGCUGCGUAGACGGUGAUGAGGACGCCCUACUAAUGAGCUGAAUUAUUUCACGUACAAAAAGCUGCCAACGGGUUAUCGUAAGUACAUACAUACAUAUAUGAGUUUUGGAUGUGAAAUAUUCUUAAAUUCGGACUGCUCAACUUUAAAGGCCCACGUUGUGGUGAGAGACCUAAAGAUUAUUGUCCUCAUACAAUUAAUAACUAUUUGUCCACAUAUGCUUCAAGUUUCCAUUCAUUUCGUCCGUAAGUGGUUAUAUGUCAAACGAGAAAUCCCCAGUGAUUAGCGUUACUGUACACAAAUCUCAAUUACUUAGAAUGCCAACAUUGACUUCUCCUCCACAUGUGUAGUGUGUAUGUGGCAUCGCAUGGCAUGGCAUUAGGCUCUGGGAAAACAAGAGCACAGCUCAAUCUAACUGCACUAAUUGAAAUCCGUAAAUGGAAAUAAUAAGGCAAUGUAACAGGGCCAAGGAGGAAAUAAUCCUACUGGCUUUCGUCCAUCCAGAUGCCCGUCCACAUCCACAUCUACAUGCACAUCUAUAUCCAGAAGCAGCAGUGAAGUACGUGCGUCAGUCAAUCAAUCAAUCAUUCGAUCUGAAAGGUGAUGCCAAACGAAUAUCCCAUCGCAUUGCAGCUGACCUGGCCUUAACAACACGACGCCACCAGCUCACCAGCUGCACCGUCAUUUGCCCUGUUUGCGUAUUAAAAUUAAAUUUUGCAUAAUAAAGUUAACGAAAAAUUGC